UACGGGGGGAGCAAGCGUUGUUCGGAUUUACUGGGCGUAAAGGGCGCGUAGGCGGCGUAACAAGUCACUUGUGAAAUCUCCGGGCUUAACUCGGAGCGGUCAAGUGAUACUGUUGUGCUAGAGUGCGGAAGGGGCUACUGGAAUUCUCGGUGUAGCGGUGAAAUGCGUAGAUAUCGAGAGGAACACCUGCGGCGAAGGCGGGUAGCUGGGCCGACACUGACGCUGAUGCGCGAAAGCGUGGGGAGCGAACAGG
rnacentral:rRNA from 1 species